GAUGAACGCUGGCGGCGUGCCUAAUACAUGCAAGUCGAGCGAACGGACGAGAAGCUUGCUUCUCUGAUGUUAGCGGCGGACGGGAGAGUAACACGUGGAUAACCUACCUAUAAGACUGGGAUAACUUCGGGAAACCGGAGCUAAUACCGGAUAAUAUUUUGAACCGCAUGGUUCAAAAGUGAAAGACGGUCUUGCUGUCACUUAUAGAUGGAUCCGCGCUGCAUUAGCUAGUUGGUAAGGUAACGGCUUACCAAGGCAACGAUGCAUAGCCGACCUGAGAGGGUGAUCGGCCACACUGGAACUGAGACACGGUCCAGACUCCUACGGGAGGCAGCAGUAGGGAAUCUUCCGCAAUGGGCGAAAGCCUGACGGAGCAACGCCGCGUGAGUGAUGAAGGUCUUCGGAUCGUAAAACUCUGUUAUUAGGGAAGAACAUAUGUGUAAGUAACUGUGCACAUCUUGACGGUACCUAAUCAGAAAGCCACGGCUAACUACGUG
rnacentral:rRNA from 1 species